AGGUUGGGAAGGGGGUGGUUUUGAAGGAGAAGAAGAAUCCGAUUGGACCAAUGACCCACCUGCCAUUCAUGUCCUUCAUCUCAGGUGUUCAGGUGCAUCCGCUGGCAGAAGCCGCCGCUGUGGCCAUGGAUUCUUAAGCUAACUCGAGAGUUAAUAAGACGAGGCAUUUGGAUUUGAUUGAUUGCCACUCUUCUUUUCGUUUCUUUCUUCUGCACGCUCCCAUUAAAGCAUCCUUCUUUGAUUCAUUUAUGAUUUACCUCGCUGUUUCUGAUCUGACCCAUUAGAGUUCUGUGUUCUUAGAGCUGCAUCAACACCUAGCUUCUG
rnacentral:misc_RNA from 1 species